GAAAUCAGUUCAGCACUAAGUCACUUUGUCUUUAUGGCAAAUGUGAGAUGCAGUGUAUGGAAUGUCAAAUUUCUAGUAUGAGAAAUUAACGAUUUAAGUCCUUCUUAAAUGAGGCCAUUUACCCAUAGAGGGUGCCAGGCCCGUAUAACGUUAAUGAUUACUAGAUGGCAUUUCCAAAGAGUCGUGUUGCUUGAUAGUGCAGCACUAAGUGGGUGGUAAACUCCAUCUAAAACUAAAUAUAACCAUGAGACCGAUAGUAAACAAGUACCGUGAGGGAAAGUUGAAAAGAACUCUGAAUAGAGAGUUAAAUAGUACGUGAAACUGCUUAGAGGUUAAGCCCGAUGAACCUGAAUAUCCAUUAUAGAAAAUUCAUCAUUAUGAUUUUAAUAUUAAUAAUAUUAUAAUAAUGGUGUGCAUUUUUUCUAUAACGGACAUUGUAAUCUAUUAACAUAAAUAUAUUUAUCAUAAGAUCAAUGAUGCGUAAGUUUAUUCAAAUUAUUUUGCUUGCAAUUUAACAUAGAAUAAAUGCUCUUGAUUUGAUAAAGUGUUGAUAGAUUUAUUGUAUAUAGUGCUUAAAUAUUUAUAUUUUAUAAUAGCAUAUUAAUCAUUGAUUUUUAUGUUUAUUAUAUGCACUUAUAUGAUUAACAAUGCGAAAGAUUCAGGAUACCUUCGGGACCCGUCUUGAAACACGGACCAAGGAGUCUAACAUAUUUGCAAGUUAUUGGGUAUCAAAACCUAAUAGCGAAAUUAACAUAACUUUAAUGGGAUUAGUUUUUAGAUUAUUUAUAGUCUAUUAAUUCAAUCCCGGGGCGUUCUAAUAGUUAUGUAUAAUAAUAUUUAUAUUAUUUAUACCUCUAACUAGAGCGUACCUUGAGCAUAUAUGCUGUGACCCGAAAGAUGGUGAACUAUACUUGAUCAGGUUGAAGUCAGGGGAAACCCUGAUGGAAGACCGAAACAGUUCUGACGUGCAAAUCGAUUGUCAGAAUUGAGUAUAGGGGCGAAA
rnacentral:rRNA from 1 species